AAUGAACGUUGGCGGCGUGGAUUAGGCAUGCAAGUCGAGCGGGUGUAGCAAUACACCAGCGGCGAAAGGGAGAGUAAUGCGUGGAUACCUGCCCUCGGGCCUGGGAUAGCUUCGGGAAACUGAAGGUAAUACCGGAUAACAUCUCCGGAUCAAAGGUGUGAUUCCGCCUGAGGAUGAGUCUACAUCCUAUUAGCUAGUUGGUAGGGUAACGGCCUACCAAGGCAAUGAUGGGUAGCGGGUGUGAGAGCACGACCCGCGUCAUUGGGACUGAGACACUGCCCAGACACCUACGGGUGGCAG
rnacentral:rRNA from 1 species